ACCCGCACAAGCGGUGGAGUAUGUGGCUUAAUUCGAUGCAACGCGAAGAACCUUACCUGGGCUUGACAUGUAAUGAACAACAUGUGAAAGCAUGCGACUCUUCGGAGGCGUUACACAGGUGCUGCAUGGCCGUCGUCAGCUCGUGUCGUGAGAUGUUUGGUUAAGUCCAGCAACGAGCGCAACCCCUGUUGCCAGUUACCAGCACGUGAAGGUGGGGACUCUGGCGAGACUGCCCAGAUCAACUGGGAGGAAGGUGGGGACGACGUCAAAUCAGCAUGCCCCUUAUGCCCGGGGCUACACACGUACUACAAUGCCCAGUACAGAGGGGACCGAAGCCGCGAGGCGGAGGAAAUCCUAAAAACUGCGCCCCGUUCGGACUGGAGGCUGCAACCCGCCUACA
rnacentral:rRNA from 1 species